rnacentral:misc_RNA from 1 species
UACGUAGGUGGCAAGCGUUGCCCGGAAUUACUGGGCGUAAAGAGCUCGUAGGCGGGGGCGUGCGUCUGAGAGGAAAUCUCAAGGCUCAACCUUGGGGCUGUCUCAGAUACGGCGCUUCUUGAGGGUGUGAGAGGAAAGUAGAAUUCCCGGUGUAGCAGUGAAAUGCGUAGAUAUCGGGAGGAAUACCAGUGGCGAAGGCGACUUUCUGGCACAUUCCUGACGCUGAGGAGCGAAAGCGUGGGUAGCGAACAGG